UACGUAGGCAGCGAGCGUUGUUCGGAGUUACUGGGCGUAAAGGGUGUGUAGGCGGUUGUUUUAAGUUUGGUGUGAAAUCUCCCGGCUCAACUGGGAGGGUGCGCCGAAUACUGAAUGACUUCGAGUGCGGGAGAGGAGAGUGGAAUUCCUGGUGUAGCGGUGAAAUGCGUAGAUAUCAGGAGGAACACCGGUGGUGUAGACGGCUCUCUGGACCGUAACUGACGCUGAGACACGAAAGCGUGGGUAGCAAACAGG
rnacentral:rRNA from 1 species